AGUAAUGUAUGGGGAUCUGCCUGAUGGCGGGGGAUAACUACUGGAAACGGUAGCUAAUACCGCAUAAUGUCUACGGACCAAAGCGGGGGACCUCCGGGCCUCUUGCCAUCGGAUGUGCCCAGAUGGGAUUAGCUAGUAGGUGGGGUAACGGCUCACCUAGGCGACGAUCCCUAGCUGGUCUGAGAGGAUGAUCAGCCACACUGGGACUGAGACACGGCCCAG
rnacentral:rRNA from 1 species